rnacentral:rRNA from 1 species
UACAGAGGUCCCAAGCGUUGUUCGGAUUUACUGGGCGUAAAGGGUGCGUAGGUGGCGAGGUAAGUUCGAUGUGAAAUCUCCGAGCUCAACUCGGAAAUGGCAUUGAAUACUAUCCCGCUUGAGGGUCGGAGGGGAGACUGGAAUUCUCGGUGUAGCAGUGAAAUGCGUAGAUAUCGAGAGGAACACCAAUAGCGAAGGCAGCUCGCUGGGACGGUACUGACGCUAAGGCGCGAAAGCGUGGGGAGCGAACAGG